UUAUAGAAAACAACAAAAUGAAUAAGGCUGUGAAUAUAAAAUUGUGAAGAGAGAGUAUUUUAAUGUACUAGCUGAUAAACUGACUAAGGGAACAAAACAACUGCUAACUCAUUGAUUUCUUACCAUGCCAUAGACAUUCAGCUCAAAAAGGACAAAUAACUACAGGAAUUCCAUGAUGACCACACAGUGACUCAAUCACAGACCCUGUAAAGAUGGCUGUCUGUCAAUUGUGCUUAUCUUCUGAAUUUUCAGAAACACUUCUUGAAAACAGAGAUGAUUUUUUGUAAAUAAAUGAACUCAAAUCUCUGCUUAUUGCUUGCCACUCAGAGGGAGACACGUAAAAGAAAUAAAAGAUCUACUGAUACCACUGUCUAUUCUCUGAUUUGUUCAAAAUGCUGGAUACAUAUAACCGAAGAAUAUUGAGACUGAUGCACCAAAGCAUAGCUAUUUACCCAGAAAUGUCCAUCUGUUAAUUCUGAUGUUUAUCUCAACAAUGUAAUGACUUUAUUAUUAAAACAUUUCAUGUACGUGUCCACUGGUGCACAAAAUUUUGUACAGUUGAGUGACAUCAUCUGAUAUCUACUAACUUUCACUUAUGCAGAAGUGAUUGAAUUCAUGUAUUCC